GGCCGGUUAGCUCAGUCAGUUGAGCGUAGCGCUAACAACGCUAAGGUCGCAGGUUCGAUUCCCAUUCGGUCC
rnacentral:tRNA from 1 species